AUACAGAGGGUGCGAGCGUUAAUCGGAUUUACUGGGCGUAAAGCGUGUGUAGGUGGUUAUCCAAGUCGGUUGUGAAAUCCCUGGGCUCAACCUGGGAACUGCUUCCGAGACUGGAUGACUAGAGUACGGUAGAGGGUGGUGGAAUUUCCGGUGUAGCGGUGAAAUGCGUAGAUAUCGGAAGGAACAUCAAUGGCGAAGGCAGCCGCCUGGGCCUGUACUAACACUGAGACACGAAAGCGUGGGGAUC
rnacentral:rRNA from 1 species